GCUACCUGGUGAGAUUAGUGAACCUUGUUCAUACAGAUAACUUUCUUUUAUCAAGGAAAGGAACCAGAAGGUAACAAGGGAAGGUGACAGCUGGCAAACAGAAGGGCGGCUUCUACAACACGAUUUAAAGCAAUACAGAAGUAGCGAUGUAAAAAUUACACACCCCUCUCCACCAACAUUGCUACCUCAGGAGAAUCUCUGCAGUGGGAACUUUUGCUUGCUUCCCCCAGUGCAUGGGGCUGCACUGCACAGCUGCAUCAUGCAGCUCCCGGAGCCGAGCAGAGCCACGUGCAACACCUCAGCAAAGGCCAGCCUGCUGAGACAACCCUCCUCCUCCCCCUGCCCAGGAUUACCGUCAAGAGGAGUAAGUGCAGGGAUAAGUCCAUGGUUGACAGUUCUUCCUGGAAUACGACUUGCUGAGCUCAACAUUUUUAAUUCCUUGUAUGAUGAAAAGUCUUCACAUCCAUGAAACAAGGAUAUAAAUUACCAGGCACAAAAUAAAUCUCUCUAAUGGAGAAACUCUACACCUCAGAGAGAAGAAAAUAAAAAAGUCAUGCACAUUUUAUAACUGAGAUAAGAACUGUUUUCUGAUGAAGAGGAUCGGCCACUUGUUUGUUUCUGCUCUGUCAUUCCAGCUAUAUAUUCAUGCUUGCAAAAGCAGUAAAAUAGCUAAAGCAGUAUCUUGAUUAAUGAUCUACCAGACUAAUACAAAAUCAUCCAAACAUAUGACAAAACAGUGGGCUUACUGAGAAUUUUAAAAGGAAUGUUUGAUAACAACUGAGAUACUGAAGGAAGUUAUUAUCAGAGAAGUAUUAUGGGUGGAGGAAUCACCUGCUGCUCUGGAGAGAGUGGCCAAGGGAAGAAGCUUAUUUCUUCUCUGGUGGCUACUGAGAAGAUUUUGACUUUUCCUAUCUCUGUCUUUCACUCUCCACUGUCGUUUUGAUUCUUCCCCUCAAAUUACACUGAUCAUUCCAUCUGAUGUUUGUUAUUGGCUAUGAAAACCCACUAAAAAAUUUUUGUGCAUAUGAACCUAUCUCAGCAUCCUUUGUGCCACAAAGGCAAUUGUACCACAAUUUUAUAAACAAAUUAAGGGUGAAACUUAGUACAUACCAUUAGAUAUAUUUUUUUUCAGGCUAAGGGAAAGAAAAGCCCAGUGUUAACUGGAAAGAAUACAAGAAAAGCAUUGAAGAUCCCUCCUGAUCUGAAAAUCAGUAAUCAGGAACCUAUGGAAGUUUUUUCUUGCAGAAGUAAAAGUGCACCUGUUGUGUUUUCUCUAAAGGUGCUGCUUGCUACUAGGUUUUUUGUACAGUAAUGGACCUGCCUGGAAGACUUUCUAACCUGUGAAAUAUUUCAAACACAUUUAAAGAUACCACCUGGAAUGGUAGACUUGAAAAACCAACACAGUCAGCUGAUGGAGCUGGCAGAACAGAUACGAUCACUGGCUACACAACCCAGUGUGGGAGAGCCCAGAGAGCUGGGAUGCCCACACCAGCCAGGAGGCCCUGCACAUCCAGCAGAGGAAAAGGCAAAGAGCUCAGCUUUCUACCAGCCACCUGGCAGGGCACCAAGGAGCUUGGCAAAGUGGGACAACAGCCUGGAAGGAGCACAGAUUAUAGUCUCCACACUGCUACAUAUUCCAGCAAAAUGUUUUCAUUUGGAAGAAUCAGCAUUUUCUAAGAGCAGAGCAGUCAGCUGGAACAUCUCCAAACAACUCCAACACUCGUUUUAGUCACUGAUGUUUUUACUCCCAUCUUCCAGCUAAUUAGCUACUGCUAGGACAACGUGUGGAGAUUCUCUACCUCUGCAGGUAGCAUCUGUUUGUGAAGCAUGCACAAACUACAAAUAAUGGGAUCUUUGUCAACAUCCAGUUUGCAAUCAUCUCUUGUCACUCACUAAACACAGCCUCCUCAUCCAGCCUUUAGAUAUGGUUUUGUUUCUUGCAAGAGAUUAACAUGUUUUUCUCACCUCGUAUUUUUAACAGAUAAACAUUUUACAAGUGACAGAACACUAAAUAAUUUUGCUUAUCUGAUUUUUAUCUAUACCUCAUCUUCUAAACACACUUUGAGCUGGGGUAAAAUUAGAAGGAGAUGUUCUAAGUCCUUGGCACUUCCAAUCUCUACUUUGGCUCAGAUGACAGCUCUAACUGGAAGUGAUUAUUUAUACAGCCGUGUAAAUGUUCAUGGUGCUAUUUAACCAAAUAAAGUAUGUGCCAUGAGUCUAGCAA